rnacentral:rRNA from 1 species
UACGUAGGGGGCAAGCGUUGUCCGGAUUUAUUGGGCGUAAAGAGCGUGUAGGCGGUCAGGUAGGUCCGUUGUGAAAACUCGAGGCUCAACCUCGAGACGCCGAUGGAAACCAUCUGACUAGAGUCCGGAAGAGGAGAGUGGAAUUCCUGGUGUAGCGGUGAAAUGCGCAGAUAUCAGGAGGAACACCCGUGGCGAAGGCGGUUCUCUGGGACGGUACUGACGCUGAGACGCGAAAGCGUGGGGAGCGAACAGG